GGAUUCUUGUGGGAAUAUAUAUCUGGAAUGCUUUUUUUUUUUUGUGGUUAAUUUUAUAUAUGUCUGUAUAAAUAUAGUAAAUUAUAAAUAUAUCUCCAUAAAAUUUAAUUUUUAUAUAUUGUUUCUGUAAAAGUUCUGAUAUUUCUAAAUAUAUCUCUGUCGUUAAGAUCCGUUAGAAAAAAUUAGUUAACCAUAGAUAAAAUACUUAACACUAGUUAGUUAAUAAAAUGAAUUAAUCUAUUUAUCCCUCUUUAAUUAAUAGUUGAUACUUUUGAAAUUAAAAAAUAUUUUUCCUGAGCGUUUGAAUAGGCGCUACUUAUCAUGUGACACUCAUUCGGAUAAUUUUCAAACAAUCUUGUUUAGAAAUUAUGUCCAUAAAAAUUUUGUCCCACGUAUAUGUAAAUUAGAAUUAGCAUUAAAAAGACAUAAUGUAAUUAAAGUUAUA
rnacentral:lncRNA from 1 species